UACAUUUACUCAAGGCUCAGACCGAUUUUUGUCGCACUGUACAGCCCUAUCCAAACCUGUUCCAGACUGUAGAAGGAGCUGCUCAAUUUCAAGUCCGC